AGCGAACGUUUGCGGCGGGCCUAACACAUGCAAGUCGAACGCACUAGCAAUAGUGAGUGGCGCACGGGUGCGUAACACGUGGGUAAUCAACCCUUCAGCCUGGGAUAACGACUCGAAAGGGUCGCUAAUACCGGAUACGGCGUGAGAGGCUUCGGCUUCUCACGAGAAAGCCACGCAAGGGGCACUGAAGGACGAGCCUGCGGCCCAUCAGCUAGUUGGUGAGGUAAGAGCUCACCAAGGCUAAGACGGGUAGCUGGUCUGAGAGGAUGAUCAGCCACACUGGAACUGAGACACGGUCCAGACUCCUACGGGAGGCAGCAGUGGGGAAUAUUGCGCAAUGGGCGAAAGCCUGACGCAGCCACGCCGCGUGAGCGAUGAAGGCCUCGGUCGUAAGUACGUCUGUGGGAGGAGGACGAAGAAAGA
rnacentral:rRNA from 1 species